rnacentral:rRNA from 1 species
AUACAGAGGGUGCGAGCGUUAAUCGGAUUUACUGGGCGUAAAGCGCGCGUAGGUGGUUAAUUAAGUCAAAUGUGAAAUCCCCGAGCUUAACUUGGGAAUUGCAUUCGAUACUGGUUAGCUAGAGUAUGGGAGAGGAUGGUAGAAUUCCAGGUGUAGCGGUGAAAUGCGUAGAGAUCUGGAGGAAUACCGAUGGCGAAGGCAGCCAUCUGGCCUAAUACUGACACUGAGGUGCGAAAGCAUGGGGAGCAAACAGGAUUAGAUACCCUGGUAGUCCAUGCCGUAAACGAUGUCUACUAGCCGUUGGGGGAUUUGAUCCUUUAGUGGCGCAGCUAACGCGAUAAGUAGACCGCCUGGGGAGUACGGUCGCAAGACUAAAACUCAAAUGAAUUGGCGGGG